AUGUUGACUGCCUUCUUGCUGCUCCUGGCGGCGGCGGCGGCGGCGGCAGCGGCGGCCGCCAUCGAGACGCCCGAGCGCCUCGUCUCGGCUCGUGGCUGUCAAGCAGCUGUGGCGGCGUGGACAUCCCCUACCCGUUCGGCAUUGGCGUCGGCGCCGGCGGCCGCGACUGCUUCCGCGAGGGCUUCCAGAUCGACUGCGUCUACGACGGCCCCGUGCUCGCCAACACGUCCCUUCGGGUGGUGCGGCUGUCCGUGGACCCCGCCGAGUCGCUGGUGAUGCUCCCCGUCGGGCGGAUGUGCUACAACGCCACCGACCCGCGCCGCGCCGAGGAGUACAGCCACGGCGAGACGCUGAUGAACAAGCACGGCGUGUACCGCUUCUCCAGCGCGCGCAACAUGCUCGUCGUCCUCGGCUGCAACACCAUGGGCACCAUCGGGAGCGACAAGACCGCGCGCCUCGUCGACGGCUACUCCUACUACCUCGGGUGCAUGAACUUCUGCAACAGCUCGGCCAGCGCGCAGGACGGCCAGUGCGCCAGCCUCGGCUGCUGCCACGUCGACAUCCCGCCGGGGCUCACCCACAACUACUUCAGGUUCCGGGAGUACGACCACAGCAGCAUGAUGGACUACAGCCCGUGCGACUACGCCUUCCUCGUCGACCGGACCAACUACACCUUCCGGCGCUCCGACCUCCUCAGGGACACCCUCCGGACCUCGCCGGUGUGGCUGGACUGGGCCAUCCGUGGCGCCGGCGGCGACGACUCCGCCUCAUUAUCGUGCGCCCAAGCCAAUGAGACCAAGAAGUACGCCUGCCUGAGCAACCAGAGCUACUGCGUCGACGCCACCAAUGGGCCUGGCUACAACUGUAACUGCUCCGAAGGCUACGAGGGCAAUGCCUACCUCGUCGACGGAUGCACCAAUAUAGAUGAAUGUGCAGAUUCAGACAAAUAUCCUUGCAAAGGUGUAUGCAGGGACACCGAAGGAUCUUACCGAUGCACCUGUCCUCCGGGUUAUGGAAGCGAUGACCCAAAAACUCAACGCUGUGCUCCAAAGUUCCCACCUGCUGCACAGAUUUGCAUAGGUGCGAUAGGUGGUAUUCUUGUCAUCGCAUUUGUGGCGUUCGUCAUUAUUAUUCGAAAAGAGAAGCGGAAGACCAGAGAGUUAUAUGAGAAAAAUGGUGGUCUUACCUUGGAGAAGGCUAAAGUCAUUAAGAUUUUCAAAGUGGAGGAGCUCAAGCCAAUUUUAAAGAGCAGCAAUUUAAUUGGAAAAGGUGGCUUUGGUGAAGUUUAUAAGGGGGUUCUUGAUAACGUACUUGUCGCAGUAAAGAAACCAAUUGGUCGUAAUGUGCAGGAGAACAAGCAAUUUGCAAAUGAAGUCAUCAUCCAGUCUCAAGUCAUCCACAAGAACAUCGUUAGGCUCAUCGGUUGUUGCCUAGAAGUGGAUAACCCCCUGCUAGUGUACGAGUUCAUUUCCAAAAGAAGCAUGCAUGACAUUCUUCACGAGUUUAGGGAGCCUCUCAACUUGGAAGUGCGUCUAAGCAUUGUCUUAGAAUCAGCACAUGGUCUAGCUUAUUUGCAUUCACAAGCCCAUACCAAAAUCCUGCAUGGUGAUGUUAAACCAGCAAACAUACUCUUGGAUGACAACUUUGUGCCAAAGAUCUCAGACUUCGGCAUAUCGAGGUUGAUUGCAGUAGACAAGGAACACACUGCCAACGUAAUUGGUGACAUGAGUUAUAUGGAUCCAGUAUACCUACAACAGGCCUCUUGACUGAGAAAAGUGAUGUCUAUAGUUUUGGGGUUGUCAUCUUAGAGGUCAUUAGCAGGAGGAAGGCCACUCAUUCUGACAAUAACAGCUUAGUGACGAGUUUUAUCCAGUACCACAAAGAAGGAAAGAAAGCAACCGAGUUGUUUGAUAAGGAAAUUGCAGCAACAGGAAAUUUGCAGCUUCUUGUUACUCUGGCGGGAAUCGCUGUGGAAUGUCUUAGCCUUGAUGUGGAUCAAAGACCAUGGAUGACAGACGUUGUGGCGCGCCUUCUCACAUUAAAUAGAUCACGUGUGUUGUAA
rnacentral:rRNA from 1 species